AUGCGGUUUGUUGGCGACUCUGGACGGGAGAUGCUGCGUACGUGCGAGGUUCAGAAGGCCCUGGCGUGCAACUCAGAUGGGUUGUGUGCGCGGUUCAGAUGGGCCAGAAGCCUCGUGCCUCCGGUCGCCCCUACCUACCCCAGUGCGAGCCCGGCGGCCUUCCUCCACCGCUGGGUCCUCGGGUCUGGUGCAGCCUACCCACCGUCGAGGAGCCCCCCACCCCUUCCUCCCCGCGAGCCCCAUGAUAUCCGUAGCGCCGACGGGCGUCGGAUCCCUGCACCAACCGCCUGGAUCCAGCCCACACCCCGCCGCCAUGUCGCGCCGUCGAGACUUCCCAGGUACACCGCGACGCCUCACCCAAAAACAGAUGAACUGCAGGACACCACCCACGAAGCCUCCGCAGGAGCACUAGUGAGCUGCUCCACAUUUAGUGAUUGA
rnacentral:rRNA from 1 species